AGAGGUUUGAUUUCUGCUCAGAUUGAACGCUGGCGGCAGGCCUAACACAUGCAAGUCGAACGGUAACAGGAAGCAGCUUGCUGCUUCGCUGACGAGUGGCGGACGGGUGAGUAAUGUCUGGGAAACUGCCUGAUGGAGGGGGAUAACUACUGGAAACGGUAGCUAAUACCGCAUAACGUCGCAAGACCAAAGAGGGGGACCUUCGGGCCUCUUGCCAUCAGAUGUGCCCAGAUGGGAUUAGCUAGUAGGUGGGGUAACGGCUCACCUAGGCGACGAUCCCUAGCUGGUCUGAGAGGAUGACCAGCCACACUGGAACUGAGACACGGUCCAGACUCCUACGGGAGGCAGCAGUGGGGAAUAUUGCACAAUGGGCGCAAGCCUGAUGCAGCCAUGCCGCGUGUAUGAAGAAGGCCUUCGGGUUGUAAAGUACUUUCAGCGGGGAGGAAGGCGAUGUGGUUAAUAACCGCGUCGAUUGACGUUACCCGCAGAAGAAGCACCGGCUAACUCCGUGCCAGCAGCCGCGGUAAUACGGAGGGUGCAAGCGUUAAUCGGAAUUACUGGGCGUAAAGCGCACGCAGGCGGUCUGUCAAGUCGGAUGUGAAAUCCCCGGGCUCAACCUGGGAACUGCAUCCGAAACUGGCAGGCUUGAGUCUCGUAGAGGGGGGUAGAAUUCCAGGUGUAGCGGUGAAAUGCGUAGAGAUCUGGAGGAAUACCGGUGGCGAAGGCGGCCCCCUGGACGAAGACUGACGCUCAGGUGCGAAAGC
rnacentral:rRNA from 1 species